rnacentral:rRNA from 1 species
CGCCUGUUUAUCAAAAACAUCUUUUCUCGUUAGUUUUUGAAGUAUGGCCUGCCCGCUGACUUUGGUGUUGAAGGGCCGCGGUAUUUUGACCGUGCAAAGGUAGCAUAGUCAUUAGUUCUUUAAUUGUGAUCUGGUAUGAAUGGCUUGACGAGGCAUGGGCUGUCUUAAUUUUGAAUUGUUUAUUGAAUUUGGUCUUUGAGUUAAAAUUCUUAGAUGUUUUUAUGGGACGAGAAGACCCUAUAGAGUUUAACAUUUGUUAUGGUCCCCUUUCUGUUUGUGAGGGUUCAUUGGGCCGUUUAAUAUGUUUUGUUGGGGUGAUGGGAGGGAUUAAUUUAACCCCUCCUUUUUAUUAUUAUAUUUAUUUAUAUUUACUUGAUCCUUUAUUUUGAUUGUAAGAUUAAAUUACCUUAGGAUAACAGCGUAAA